rnacentral:misc_RNA from 1 species
ACAAGGCUUUGCUUGAAGGGGUGGCUAUUGAUACAGAGAAAAUUUUGAUUAAUGGGCCGGAACCUUUAAGAGUGUAUUCUAGAAGAGUGAGGAAUGAAGCUAGCAAUGUAGAAAAGUUUGCAGAGGCAUCUAAUGCAAAAAGGCAUGGAAAUACAACUAGGAAGGAGUAACGGUAACCGAUGAGUAGGCAAUAGUUAGGGUAUUAUAAAUAGAGUAUUAGAAUA